UACAGAGGUCUCAAGCGUUGUUCGGAUUCAUUGGGCGUAAAGGGUGCGUAGGCGGCGCGGUAAGUCGGGUGUGAAAUCUUGGAGCUUAACUCCGAAACUGCAUUCGAUACUGCCGUGCUUGAGGACUGGAGAGGAGACUGGAAUUUACGGUGUAGCGGUGAAAUGCGUAGAUAUCUGGAGGAACACCGGUGGCGAAGGCGGCAUCCUGGACCAACACUGACGCUGAGUGAGCGAAAGCCAGGGGAGCAAACGG
rnacentral:rRNA from 1 species